rnacentral:tRNA from 1 species
GGGCCCGUAGUCCAGUCUGGCAGGAUGCGGGGUUCGGGUCCCUGUGGUCGGGGGUUCAAAUCCCCCCGGGCCCACCA